rnacentral:rRNA from 1 species
UGGGGAAUAUUGGACAAUGGGGGGAACCCUGAUCCAGCCAUGCCGCGUGUGUGAAGAAGGUCUUCGGAUUGUAAAGCACUUUAAGUUGGGAGGAAGGGCAGUAAGUUAAUACCUUGCUGUUUUGACGUUACCGACAGAAUAAGCACCGGCUAACUCUGUGCCAGCAGCCGCGGUAAUACAGAGGGUGCAAGCGUUAAUCGGAAUUACUGGGCGUAAAGCGCGCGUAGGUGGUUAGUUAAGUUGGAUGUGAAAUCCCCGGGCUCAACCUGGGAACUGCAUUCAAAACUGACUGACUAGAGUAUGGUAGAGGGUGGUGGAAUUUCCUGUGUAGCGGUGAAAUGCGUAGAUAUAGGAAGGAACACCAGUGGCGAAGGCGACCACCUGGACUGAUACUGACACUGAGGUGCGAAAGCGUGGGGAGCAAACAGGAUUAGAUACCCCCGUAGUCCCUGAGCGGGCUGGCAAGGCGCAU